UGGGGAGUAUUGCACAAUGGGGGGAACCCUGAUGCAGCAACGCCGCGUGAGUGAAGAAGUUAUUCGUAAUGUAAAACUCUAUCGCUUAAGAAUAAGAUGAAAGAAAAAGAGAAGAAGCCCCGGCUAACUACGUGCCAGCAGCCGCGGUAAUACGUAGGGGGCAAGCGUUAUCCGGAUUUACUGGGUGUAAAGGGAGCGUAGACGGAAUGGCAAGUUUGGAGUGAAAACCCUAUGCUUAACAUAGGAAUUGCUUUGAAAACUGUUAAUCUAGAGUAUUGGAGAGGUAAGUGGAAUUUCUAGUGUAGUAGUGAAAUGCGUAGAUAUUAGGAAGAACACCGGAGGCGAAGGCGACUUACUGGACAAAAACUGACGUUGAGGCUCGAAAGCGUGGGGAGCAAACAGG
rnacentral:rRNA from 1 species